UGUAGUACCUUCUCCGUCCCGUCGCGGGACUUUUGCCCUCCAGUUCCCGGUUCCCUCAGGCCGCCUCCCCAGUGGGCACACGCCCAGGCGCCGUGCCCCGCGCUCCCUCCCUCUGCCUUUCACUUCCCAGCUGCCAAGAUCUUGGAAGCUUUGAAGCUCAGAGAAGAAGGAAAAUCCAUUGAGAACAGUCUGUAAAGGUUGCGUGGACGCUCAUUUUUCUUAAACGCCUGUUUCCUCUGCCUAGCAAGGCUUCAACUGUGAAGAAAUGUCAUUCCGAUUUGGCCAACACCUCAUCAAGCCCUCUGUAGUUUUUCUCAAAACAGAACUGUCCUUUGCUCUUGUAAACAGGAAACCUGUGGUACCAG